GGUUAGUCGCAGCUAAACUCUCUUAAACAUGUAGAAAUUUAAAAAAUACCAACAUUUGUGUUACCAAAUAAACUUAGGCAGGUAUUUAUAUACCUUGAUGGCCAGCUAAGAAAAGUCUGUGUGUGGGAAACACUGAUUUUAUUUUACUUUAUUACUUUAUAGUUUUGUGAGUUUUACUUUUUUACCACGUGGUGCUAUGAUGGAUAUUGAUGGAUAAAGGCACAUUUUGACCAGAAACAGCCUGAGCUUAUUUUACCACAUCAGUCAGAGCUAUACUCUGUGGUUUUGGAGCAGGCGGUGAAGCCACCAGAGCUGAAUCCAGAGACGGAGGAGAGUCUUCCAUCCCGUCGUUCCCCGGAGGGCCCAGAUCCUCCAGUCCUGACAGAAGUAACCCCCACACCUCCCAGCGACUCCCCUCCAGAUUUGGAGUCUGUUGAGAAAAAGAUGGAUCAAGGCCGGUACAAUUCAUUGGUAAGUGUGCAUUCUUUCUUUCUUUUUUUUCUUUUUUGAGGGGCCCAUUUGUUUUCCGGUAUCUCUGCCGUGCUGACAAACUGGAAUGACAAGUGUGUUGUCUGCUGCAUUUUAAUGAAAAGCAAUUCAUCAGUCUCUGUAACUAGAGAACACGUAGUCGAGGAUCUGUGCAGGCUAACCACAGAUAUUUUUUCUCUAAACAUAUGACAAAGCUCACAAGCUCUCUUGAAGCAGAUUGUACUUUUUUUUUUCUUUUUAAAUCACAGCCUUUAGAGUAGAGCAGGGCGAUAUGACCAAAAAUAUUUAUCACGAUAUACAUUUGAAAAAUUGCGAUAACGAUAUAACUGACGAUAUAAUUGACACUAGACAAAAUGCUUUACAACUCCACAACUUUAUUAGUGCAAAAAACCCCAUCAAUGUAUUUUCACUUAAACAAGCAGCUGUUUUUAUGUGCAUUAAAGUUAUAUAAAAAUGUAACAGUGCAAUUUCCUUGCUGACAGUUUAACCAAAAUGCAUUUCCAGUGGAAACUGGCCG
ensembl:lncRNA